CCUACCUCUCCUAGCAAGCUGUUGUACUGCCAGCCUGAAAGUCUCCUUCAGGUUUUGCUUUCCAGUCUCCUGUCUGACCGGUUUUCCUCUGAAAGACAAAGCCACAUCAGUGUUUUAGCUAUUGCUGAAAACUGCUUGCACAACAUGAAGGAUUUCUGCUUCUUACCCUAACCACCUGGGACAGAUGACUUGAACUGGCUAAGGAGAUAUUCAGCACCAUGCAAAAGUGGUGCUCCCACCUCUAGACAAGGUACCCAUAUCCUGAAAGUGUAAAGCACACAAAGAGAUAUUCCUACAGCCUUAUGAGAACAAGAAUAAUAAUACCUGUGGCUAGUCCUAUCGGAAAUAUGGAUGGUGCUAUUGCCAAGUCCAUUCAGUGAUGGAGGAGCCAGACUCUUUUUGUGGGUGCCCAGUGACAGGACAAGAGACAAUCUGCCAAGAGAUUCUGUGUGAACAUCAGGAAACACUCUGGAAGCAACUCUACUGUGAAGCAACAGAACAGUGACAGGCUGCCCAGAGAGGUUGUGGAGUCUCCUCCUGGGAGAUCUUCUACACCCACCUGGGCACGGUCCUGGGCAACCUGCUUGAGCAGGGGUUGGGCUAGACAUUCUCCAGAGGUUCCUGCCAACCUCGUCCACUUGGUGGCUCUGCGAUCUUCAACAGCAACAAGUGCUGAAUGUCCCAGCUGUGUUUAUAACCAAUAAUUCUCUACACUGUACCUCGAGUGCCCAUAGGGAGAUGGCAGAUGGAGCUGUGACCUAGGAAGGGAAAUAAUACAUGGUAAAUUUUACUGGGCCUUGGCUUAAUUGGAAAUGAAAUAACUGUAACAAGUUGAAUCAUACCUUGCCUUUUCCUGUAUUUAGGCAGCUCCUGCUCCCUUUAGCCCUACUAACAA